rnacentral:misc_RNA from 1 species
AAAUCUCAACCUUCUUGGUUUCUUCUGGACACCAAAGGAGGCUUGGACUUUGGAGGCCUUUGCUGGCGUCUCUCUUCUUUUGAAGGCCAGCUCCUCUUAAAUCGAUUAGCGGGGUCCUCUUUGCCGAUCCUUGACGUGUGAUAAGAUGUUUCCAUGUCUUGGCUUCUGGCUCUGUUGCCUUUGGGACCCGCUUCUAACCGUCUCAGCCUUGUGCAUCGAGACAACGUUUGAGCGUGUCUCCCUUCUCGGGAAACGCUCUCGACCCCACGAAC